GACGAACGCUGGCGGCGUGCCUAAUACAUGCAAGUCGAACGCACUCUCGUUUAGAUUGAAGGAGCUUGCUCCUGAUUGAUAAACAUUUGAGUGAGUGGCGGACGGGUGAGUAACACGUGGGUAACCUGCCCUAAAGUGGGGGAUAACAUUUGGAAACAGAUGCUAAUACCGCAUAAAACCUAACACCGCAUGGUGUAGGGUUGAAAGAUGGUUUCGGCUAUCACUUUAGGAUGGACCCGCGGUGCAUUAGUUAGUUGGUGAGGUAAAGGCUCACCAAGACCGUGAUGCAUAGCCGACCUGAGAGGGUAAUCGGGCCACACUGGGACUGAGACACGGCCCAGACUCCUACGGGAGGCAGCAGUAGGGAAUCUUCCACAAUGGACGAAAGUCUGACGGAGCAACGCCGCGUGAGUGAAGAAGGUUUUCGGAUCGUAAAACUCUGUUGUUGGAGAAGAAUGUAUCUGAUAGUAACUGAUCAGGUAGUGACGGUAUCCAACCAGAAAGCCACGG
rnacentral:rRNA from 1 species